GCUGGGCGUGGUGAUGCAUGCCUGUAAUCCCAGCUACCGGGGAGGCUGAGGCAGGAGAAUCGCUUGAGCCCAGUUGGCAGAGGUUGCAGUGAGCCAAGAUCAUGGCACUGCACUUCAGCCUGGGCAACACAGCAAGACUCUGCCUCAA
rnacentral:SRP_RNA from 1 species